rnacentral:rRNA from 1 species
UUGGGAUGAGCCCCCGCGGCCUAUCAGCUUGUUGGUGAGGUAAUGGUUCACCAAGGCUUCGACGGGUAGCCGGCCUGAGAGGGUGACCGGCCACACUGGGACUGAGACACGGCCCAGACUCCUACGGGAGGCAGCAGUGGGGAAUAUUGGACAAUGGGCGAAAGCCUGAUCCAGCAACGCUGCGUGAGGGAUGACUGCCUUCGGGUUGUAAACCUCUUUCAGCAGGGACGAAGCGCAAGUGACGGUACCGCAGAGAGCUGCCCCC